AGAGUUUGAUCCUGGCUCAGGAUGAACGCUAGCUACAGGCUUAACACAUGCAAGUCGAGGGGCAGCAUGGUCUUAGCUUGCUAAGGCCGAUGGCGACCGGCGCACGGGUGAGUAACGCGUAUCCAACCUGCCUUACACUCUUGGACAGCCUUCUGAAAGGGAGAUUAAUACAAGAUGUUAUCAUGAGUAAGCAUUUUCGCAUGAUUAAAGGUUUACCGGUGUAAGAUGGGGAUGCGUUCCAUUAGAUAGUAGGCGGGGUAACGGCCCACCUAGUCUUCGAUGGAUAGGGGUUCUGAGAGGAAGGUCCCCCACAUUGGAACUGAGACACGGUCCAAACUCCUACGGGAGGCAGCAGUGAGGAAUAUUGGUCAAUGGACGAGAGUCUGAACCAGCCAAGUAGCGUGAAGGAUGAAGGUUCUAUGGAUUGUAAACUUCUUUUAUACGGGAAUAAACGGAUCCACGUGUGGAUUUUUGCAUGUACCGUAUGAAUAAGGAUCGGCUAACUCCGUGCCAGCAGCCGCGGUAAUACGGAGGAUCCGAGCGUUAUCCGGAUUUAUUGGGUUUAAAGGGAGCGUAGAUGGAUGUUUAAGUCAGUUGUGAAAGUUUGCGGCUCAACCGUAAAAUUGCAGUUGAUACUGGAUAUCUUGAGUGCAGUUGAGGCAGGCGGAAUUCGUGGUGUAGCGGUGAAAUGCUUAGAUAUCACGAAGAACUCCGAUUGCGAAGGCAGCCUGCUAAGCUGCAACUGACAUUGAGGCUCGAAAGUGUGGGUAUCAAACAGGAUUAGAUACCCUGGUAGUCCACACGGUAAACGAUGAAUACUCGCUGUUUGCGAUAUACUGCAAGCGGCCAAGCGAAAGCGUUAAGUAUUCCACCUGGGGAGUACGCCGGCAACGGUGAAACUCAAAGGAAUUGACGGGGGCCCGCACAAGCGGAGGAACAUGUGGUUUAAUUCGAUGAUACGCGAGGAACCUUACCCGGGCUUAAAUUGCAGAUGAAUUACGGUGAAAGCCGUAAGCCGCAAGGCAUCUGUGAAGGUGCUGCAUGGUUGUCGUCAGCUCGUGCCGUGAGGUGUCGGCUUAAGUGCCAUAACGAGCGCAACCCUUGUUGUCAGUUACUAACAGGUUCCGCUGAGGACUCUAACAAGACUGCCAUCGUAAGAUGUGAGGAAGGUGGGGAUGACGUCAAAUCAGCACGGCCCUUACGUCCGGGGCUACACACGUGUUACAAUGGGGGGUACAGAGGGCCGCUACCACGCGAGUGGAUGCCAAUCCCCAAAACCUCUCUCAGUUCGGACUGGAGUCUGCAACCCGACUCCACGAAGCUGGAUUCGCUAGUAAUCGCGCAUCAGCCACGGCGCGGUGAAUACGUUCCCGGGCCUUGUACACACCGCCCGUCAAG
rnacentral:rRNA from 1 species